rnacentral:rRNA from 1 species
UAUCUCUGUAGAGUCUGCAUAUCAAUAAGCGGAGGAAAAGAAACUAACAAGGAUUCCCUUAGUAACGGCGAGUGAAGCGGGAAGAGCUCAAAUUUGAAAUCUUCAAGGUUUUACCUUGACGAAUUGUAGUUUAAAGAAGUGUUCUCUGUUGAUGUUUUGGUAAAAGUUCUUUGGAAUAGGACAUCAUAGAGGGUGAGAAUCCCGUAUUUGACCAUUAUCUUCCAGCGUUGUGAUACACUUUCAAAGAGUCGGACUGUUUGGGAAUGCAGUCCAAAAUGGGUGGUAAAUUUCAUCUAAAGCUAAAUAUUGGCGAGAGACCGAUAGCGAACAAGUACCGUGAGGGAAAGAUGAAAAGAACUUUGAAAAGAGAGUUAAACAGUACGUGAAAUUGUCAAGAGGGAAGCGUUUGACACCAGUGUUGUUUUCUCGAAAAUCAAUUAAAAAAAGUUGGAUUUUGUGUUGUAUUGACCUUAACAGCUUUCUGCACUCUUUUCCUGUCUUUUUUAAUGCACUUUUCGUUUAACAAGUCAACAUCAGUUUCUUUUGUUGUAAAAGGGUCAUUGGAAGGUGGCUUUCUUUUCGGAGAAAGUGUUUAUAGCCUUUGGCCUCUGCAAUCGGAGAGAUUGAGGUCUGCAGCGUAGAUCCUUCGGGGUUAGAUACAUUUGUGCUAAGUUAUAGCCUUUUCAUAGACAACUUGUUGACUAUGAUUCAGUCAUGUAGCUUACUCGCUUAUGCUAUUUUACCUACGCUUAGGAUGUUGAUCUGUAGUGCGUGCGC